GAUGAACGCUGGCGGCGUGCCUAAUACAUGCAAGUCGAGCGAACAGACGAGGAGCUUGCUCCUCUGACGUUUGCGGCGGACGGGUGAGUAACACGUGGAUAACCUCCCUAUAAGACUGGGAUAACUUCGGGAAACCGGAGCUAAUACCGGAUAAUAUAUUGAACCGCAUGGUUCAAUAGUGAAAGACGGUUUUGCUGCUACUUAUAGAUGGAUCCGCGCCGCAUUAGCUAGUUGGUAAGGUAACGGCUUACCAAGGCAACGAUGCGUAGCCGACCUGAGAGGGUGAUCGGCCACACUGGAACUGGAACACGGUCCAGACUCCUACGGGAGGCAGCAGUAGGGAAUCUUCGGCAAUGGGCGAAAGCCUGACGGAGCAACGCCGCGUGAGUGAUGAAGGUCUUCGGAUCGUAAAACUCUGUUAUUAGGGAAGAACAAAUGUGUAAGUAACUAUGCACGUCUUGACGGUACCUAAUCAGAAAGCCACGGCUAACUACGUG
rnacentral:rRNA from 1 species